GACGAACGCUGGCGGCGUGCUUAACACAUGCAAGUCGAACGGUGAUGCUCCAGCUUGCUGGAGUGGAUCAGUGGCGAACGGGUGAGUAACACGUGAGCAACCUGCCCCAGACUCUGGAAUAAGCGCUGGAAACGGCGUCUAAUACUGGAUACGAAACUGGCCCGCAUGGGCAUGGUUUGGAAAGUUUUUCGGUUUGGGAUGGGCUCGCGGCCUAUCAGCUUGUUGGUGAGGUAAUGGCUCACCAAGGCGACGACGGGUAGCCGGCCUGAGAGGGCGACCGGCCACACUGGGACUGAGACACGGACCAGACUCCUACGGGAGGCAGCAGUGGGGAAUAUUGCACAAUGGGCGAAAGCCUGAUGCAGCGACGCCGCGUGAGGGAUGACGGCCUUCGGGUUGUAAACCUCUUUCAGCAGGGAAGAAGCGAAAGUGACGGUACCUGCAGAAGAAGCACCGGCUAACUACGUG
rnacentral:rRNA from 1 species